GCAAUUGAUUAGAUAAUGAAAGUGUAUAUGAGAAAGUAGCUGAACUGUCAGUGAACUGAAGAGCAUAGAUUCAAGCAUGACAUUACAGAGGGCAGAAGGUCCGAGGAGCAGAAGGUUCCAGAGGGAGCAGAAGGUUACAGAGAGCAUGACUACAGAGGGCAGAAGCAUGAGGUUCCAGAGGAGCAUGACUACAGAGGAGCAGAAGCAUGAGGUUCCAGAGGAGCAUGAGGUUACAGAGGAGCAUGAGGUUACAGAGGAGCAGAAGGUGACAGAGGAGCAUGAGGUUACAGAGGAGCAGAAGCAUGAGGUUACAGAGGAGCAGAAGGUGACAGGGGAGCAGAAGGUUACAGAGGAGCAGAAAUAACAAUGACAAGCCUAUAACACAUUGAACAAAUACACUCAACUUGGAUAGCUUUAUUGUAUAAAAAACGCUAUAAAACACUGGCUCCCUGAUAGCCUAUCACCCACCCCUAGUGUACACGUUAAUGCACGCGCCCACGGAAACAAACAAACAAACACACGCGCAUACAUACAUACACGCACGCAAACUCAGGGCAUGCGAAUUUACCCAGUUUACAGCAUAUCGACUAGCACUAGAGUAGGCUGUUGUAGCCUAUUGAUUGCAACACUGUGCAGAGAGAGAGAGAGAGAGAGAGAGAGAGAGAGAGGGCUGGCUGGCCGCGGUAGAUGAAGUCACUGGAUGGUUCUGAAAUAUAUAUCACAGUGAAACAAACACAAAAUGCUCAUCUUGCAGAUUUAGUCUGCUCAAGCUGCCGUAUCUUAUAACGGUUCUAUCUUUGUUUUCUUCUCCAACCAUGACCCUCUUAUUAUAAAAGGAUGUGCGGGAGGCGACAGCUUGGCGCGUUGCCGGAUUCCCCUCUCUAUAGUAUCCCCUCCUGAUCUACUCAGCUCAACCUGAACUGCCUGGCUGGCGGCAUCCCAUAAUGAUUCUGAAUCAUCCGCAGCAGCAGGCAGCAGAAGCAGUAAGUCAUAUUCAUACUCACCACAACGAUUUCCUGGGAGGAAGAUGAUGUUCUUUGUUGUAGGAGGUCACCCCCAGAGCCAGCUGCAUAACAGUAAUAUAUUUCUGGUAAUUCACCAUGGUAUUGUCCACCGCUACUAAGAAUCCAACCCAAAUAAAAACAUAGGUAAUCAUAUAUUCAUAGUAGUUUAUUCCCUGGCAGAGUCUGCCUUCACUGCGUCUUCCUUGUUCAGCAGCAUCUCAACGCCAUUUCCAGUAGCGGCGAAGGACUGACAGGGGAAACGCUCCCCGAGGAACUGAGAGAAAGGUGCCAUACCGCGACUAAGAGCCAUGUCCGCAAUGACAGUACCAAGACUAGACUCCUCUAAUCGUAUUAGCUCUCAGAAUAGAUCGCCAAUCCAUUCGAUUUUUAGUCAGGAUUUAAACAUUAUUUUUAUUUACUCCCUCCUUCCUUUCUCCGUGACCGCGGGGACUUUGCUGGAAAACAGUCUGUGAAAAACGGUCUGUACUGCUGCGUUGGUUCAAGCGUCCGUGCGUGAGGUAGGGGAGAGUGUGUUGGCUAUGUAUAGUCAGAAAGAGGCACAGAGAGGAGAGGGAAGGGGAGGGAAGGAGGGGUGGGGUGGGGUGGGGUGGGGGGGUAGUAUUUGAAAAGGACGAAUUAAUAAUACAUUUUGAGGAUCUUGUUGCAUUUACUUAUGCGGUCUUACAUCGGCGCUACUUCGAAACCUUAUAUCCUACUGCCCUUCUCCAUUGUGUAAAAACACAUUUGAUUCUGUUGUUCUUGUCAUGGACUGUAGCCUAUGACGUGUAAGAUUGGGGAAGCUACUCUGAAAACAGUUACUACACACUGGAAGAAGCUACGCUACACUAAAGCUACUCUUACUUUUAAAAAGUAGUACACUACCUCCAAAAAAACUACUUCAUGAUAAAUUCUG
ensembl:lncRNA